GGAUUCAGGAGUGAAGCUGCUCUCUGCUGGACUGGAGAAUCCACACUGUACACUGGAGAUACUGAGGCACACACACACACACACACACACACACACACACACACACACACACAAACUCACACACACAGAGCAGAAUUUUAAUAAACACAACUACAUAUAGUUUCCAUCUGUGGUGAGUGUAAUUGUAGUGAUGUGAUAUAUUGUCAUUGUUGUGUGUGUGAGAUGGAGAGUAAAUGUUCUUUAUAUAAAGAUUUUGUGUAGUUGAUGUUUUCAGAGCUAAAACUGAGUGUGUUAAGUGUGAGAAGGAUUUUUGUGUUGCAGGAUGAUUAAAUGCAGUAUUACAGAUGAAGGUUUCGCUGCUCUGGCUUCAGCUCUGAGGUCAAACUCCUCAUCACACCUGAGAGAACUGAAUCUGAACGGUAAUAAUCCAGGAGAAUCAGGAGUGAAGCUGCUCUCUGAUCUACUGAAGGAUCCACACUGUAAACUGGAGACAUUAUACAUUAAGGAUAAUAAACUCACCAGGACCGGCGUUUGACAGGAGUCUCACCUCAAACCUCUUCUCCAGGAUAAGGCAGUUUUGGUGAAGAGUUAGAACCCGUCCCACAUUUCCAGCAGUUUGGGAGCUGAAUCAUUAAACUUAAAGGGACAGAGCAGAUAUAAAGUCAAGAACAGGCAGAAGGUCAUACACAGGAGAAAUCAACACACGUAACGAAAUAUCUGCUGUACAAAGCAACGGCAACGAUCUACCCUGGGGAUGGAGACUGACGAUGCUCAAGUACAUGUCUGGUCACAGACUGAUCCCAAAGCACGAGGCAGGAGCAGGCAUGUUAAUGGUAAAUGGUCUGCAGUUAUAUAGCACUUUUUUAACCUUAGUGGUUCCAAAGCACUUUACACUGUUUCACAUUCAUGAGGCUUGUGCCAAAGAGUAGAUGUGAAAAUACAGUGGAAAAUUUCCCUUGCAACCUGCCAACCUUUGCUGUGUCAUGAACACAGUGUCUUCGUCAACCCAGGAGAUGAUUUAGAAAAGUGCCUAUGCAACAGUGUGUUCAGCAUGCAUGGAGGCACUGUAUUUAUACACAGUGUUGCAUGAAAUAACAACAGAAAUAACACAAAUCAAUACCCUCAUGCACAUCUCUCUAAUGGCCUGAUUAGGUCCAUAUCAAUUAUUUCAACUGCAAACUUGAAUAAAGGUAAUGGGCACAAUGGUGCUAUUGGGGUGGCCAUUGGAUUUUGCAGCUGAAAUUAGUAUCCUGGUAACAAUUGCUUCCACAGCUCCUUUUUGAUGUACCAGUCAACUUAACACUACCCAUAUGAGUUGAUGCUUGGCCAAAAACCUAAGCUACCAGUGGAUAGUUUGCUUGUUGGUAAUGAAGAACGGGAAGGAGAUGGUGCCCAUUCAGAUUGGGUCACCCAACACCAAAAGUAUUUGACCUCCAUUUAUUCCAGUUCCUGAAGGUACUUGGAGACUGUGGUCAUUCACCGUAGGACCAAUUGCCCUGACUCAGUAGCAAUACUACCCCCUGGCACUUUAGUGUAUUGUAAGGAUCAUUUCAUGGUUGCCAUAAGAUUCAGGAUGUCUGGCACUCCACUGUGUUUGAGAUUGUGGCCUACAUUGAUGAAGUGGGAACGCUGUAUAAGAUCAGACCACAUGGAGAAGAUGGCCCCAUUAAAACUGUCCAUUGCUCAGAACUUAAGCCUAUUCUUACCUGGCAAAAAUAUGCCAGGUAAACCAAUGGGUCAGGUCUACUGGCCCUUUCCAGCCCCAGGAGUGAG
ensembl:lncRNA